rnacentral:rRNA from 1 species
AAAGGUUCGUAGGUGACCUGCGGAAGGAUCAUUAUUGAAAUAAACCUGAUGGGUUGUUGCUGGUUCUCUAGGGAGCAUGUGCACACUUGGUCAUCUUUAUAUCUCCACCUGUGCACCUUUUGUAGAUCUGAAUACCUUUCUGAAUGCCUAGCAUUUGGGUUUGAAGAUUGACUUUUCUGUCUCUCUUUACUUUCAGGUCUAUGUUUCUCCAUAUACCCYAUGUAUGUUWUAGAAWGUGAUAAAAUGGGCCUUUGUGCCUAUAAAUUUAUACAACUUUCAGCAACGGAUCUCUUGGUUCUCGCAUCGAUGAAGAACGCAGCGAAAUGCGAUAAGUAAUGUGAAUUGCAGAAUUCAGUGAAUCAUCGAAUCUUUGAACGCACCNUGCGCUCCUUGGUAUUCCGAGGAGCAUGCCUGUUUGAGUGUCAUUAAUAUAUCAACCUCUUCAGCUUUGUUUGUCGAGUGUUGGAUGUGGGGGUAGUUUUUUGCUGGUCUCUCUUUGAGGUCAGCUCCCCUAAAAUAUAUUAGCGGGACAAUUUGUUGACCGUUCAUUGGUGUGAUAACUAUCUACGCUAUUGACGUGAGGCAGGUUCAGCUUCUAACAGUCCAUUGACUGGACAAAUUUUCAUUAAUGGACCUCAA